UACAGAGGUCUCAAGCGUUGUUCGGAUUUAUUGGGCGUAAAGAGCUCGUAGGCGGCUUGUCGCGUCGGCUGUGAAAUCCCGUGGCUCAACUGUGGGCGGGCAGCUGAUACGGGCAGGCUGGAGUUCGGUAGGGGAGACUGGAAUACUUGGUGUAGCAGUGAAAUGCGUAGAUAUCAAGUGGAACACCAGUGGCGAAGGCGAGUCUCUGGACAUUUCCUGACGCUGAGGCACGAAAGCCAGGGGAGCAAACGGG
rnacentral:rRNA from 1 species